GUCUACAGCCAUAUCCCUCUGAACACACCUGAUCGUAUAUGAUUUUAGAAGCUAAGCAGGAUCAGGCAUGGUUGGUACUUCCACGGGAGAACACAUGCAUCUGAUGAAA
rnacentral:rRNA from 1 species